rnacentral:tRNA from 1 species
GUAAGCGUAGUUUUAAACAAAACACCAGGUUGUGGUCCUGGAAAUGGGAGUUAAAACCUCUUCGCUCACC